rnacentral:rRNA from 1 species
GUGAGCUCGAUGAGUAGGGCGGGACACGUGGUAUCCUGUCUGAAUAUGGGGGGACCAUCCUCCAAGGCUAAAUACUCCUGACUGACCGAUAGUGAACCAGUACCGUGAGGGAAAGGCGAAAAGAACCCCGGCGAGGGGAGUGAAAAAGAACCUGAAACCGUGUACGUACAAGCAGUGGGAGCCUCUUUAUGGGGUGACUGCGUACCUUUUGUAUAAUGGGUCAGCGACUUAUAUUCUGUAGCAAGGUUAACCGUAUAGGGGAGCCGAAGGGAAACCGAGUCUUAACUGGGCGUUAAGUUGCAGGGUAUAGACCCGAAACCCGGUGAUCUAGCCAUGGGCAGGUUGAAGGUUGGGUAACACUAACUGGAGGACCGAACCGACUAAUGUUGAAAAAUUAGCGGAUGACCUGUGGCUGGGGGUGAAAGGCCAAUCAAACCGGGAGAUAGCUGGUUCUCCCCGAAAGCUAUUUAGGUAGCGCCUCGUGAAUUCAUCUCCGGGGGUAGAGCACUGUUUCGGCUAGGGGGCCAUCCCGGCUUACCAACCCGAUGCAAACUGCGAAUACCGGAGAAUGUUAUCACGGGAGACACACGGCGGGUGCUAACGUCCGUCGUGAAGAGGGAAACAACCCAGACCGCCAGCUAAGGUCCCAAAGUCAUGGUUAAGUGGGAAACGAUGUGGGAAGGCCCAGACAGCCAGGAUGUUGGCUUAGAAGCAGCCAUCAUUUAAAGAAAGCGUAAUAGCUCACUGGUCGAGUCGGCCUGCGCGGAAGAUGUAACGGGGCUAAACCAUGCACCGAAGCUGCGGCAGCGACGCUUAUGCGUUGUUGGGUAGGGGAGCG